GCUGAUACAUCCUGGCCAAUCUCCAGAAGACCCUCCCUCCCAGACCCUCCCACCUCCUGGACAGCAUCCAUGUUGAAGCUGCCUUCAACAUGGAUGCUGUCCAGGAGGUGGGAGGGUCUGGGAGGGAGGGUCUUCUGGAGAUUGGCCGGGAUGUGUCAG
rnacentral:miRNA from 1 species